AAUGAACGCUGGCGGCAGGCCUAACACAUGCAAGUCGAACGGAUCCUUCGGGAUUAGUGGCGGACGGGUGAGUAACGCGUGGGAACAUACCCUUUGGUACGGAAUAGCCUCGGGAAACUGGGAGUAAUACCGUAUGUGGUCGAGAGACGAAAGAUUUAUCGCCAAAGGAUUGGCCCGCGUUGGAUUAGGUAGUUGGUGGGGUAAUGGCCGACCAAGCCGACGAUCCAUAGCUGGUUUGAGAGGAUGAUCAGCCACACUGGGACUGAGACACGGCCCUGACUCCUACGGGAGGCAGCAGCGGGGAAUCUUAGACAAUGGGGGAAACCCUGAUCUAGCCAUGCCGCGUGAUCGAUGAAGGCCUUAGGGUUGUAAAGAUCUUUCAGGUGGGAAGAUAAUGACUGUACCACCAGAAGAAGCCCCGGCUAACUCCGUGCCAGCCGCCGCGGUAAGAC
rnacentral:rRNA from 1 species